AUCGCUUCUCGGCUCCGGCUAAGAUCAAAGUGUAUCGGUAAGUAAUCGGUUCUUAUCAGCUUAAUAUCUGAUACGACCCGCAUGCGGGUCCAGUAUAUUAAACUGAUUUUUGGACAUGGAUGAGAGUUAGGGGCUUGCUCCACUCACAUCAUGAUGUAGAGUUUAGUUGCCUAAUUCAAUUCUAGUCUAAUUCCAA